rnacentral:rRNA from 1 species
UACGGAGGGUGCGAGCGUUGUCCGGAAUCACUGGGCGUAAAGGGCGCGUAGGCGGCAUGCCAAGCGUGUGGUGAAAGCCCGGGGCUCAACCCCGGGUCGGCCGUGCGGACUGGCGUGCUCGAGCACUGUAGGGGCGGGUGGAAUUCCGGGUGUAGCGGUGGAAUGCGUAGAUAUCUGGAGGAACACCGGUGGCGAAGGCGGCAUCCUGGACCGAGAUUGACGCUGAGGCGCGAAAGCCAGGGGAGCAAACGGG